AUUGAACGCUGGCGGCAGGCCUAACACAUGCAAGUCGAGCGAGUGGCGGACGGGUGAGUAAUGUAUGGGGAUCUGCCCGAUCGAGGGGGAUAACUACUGGAAACGGUAGCUAAUACCGCAUACCAUCAGAUGUACCCAUAUGGGAUUAGCUAGUUGGUGGGGUAACGGCUCACCAAGGCGACGUUCCCUAGCUGGUCUGAGAGGAUGACCAGCCACACGGGGACUGAGACACGGCCCAGACUCCUACGGGAGGCAGCAGGGGGGAAUAUUGCACAAUGGGCGCAAGCCUGAUGCAGCCAUGCCGCGUGUAUGAAGAAGGCCUUAGGGUUGUAAAGUACUUUCAGCGGGGAGGCGUUACCCGCAGAAGAAGCACCGGCUAACUCCGUGCCAGCAGCCGCGGUAAUAC
rnacentral:rRNA from 1 species